GUGCUUGCUCUAAGAGCACAUAUACUGAAACCGGAACGAUACAGAGAAGAUUAGCAUGGGCCCUGUGCAAGCAUGACAUGCAAAUUCACGAGGCAUUCUGAAUGUUA